GAUCUGGUUUGGAUUUAACACCGGCGAUUCAUUUUAAUUAAAGAAACGAAUCUAAAAAAUUUUACGGUAAUACAGUGGUUGUGGGUGGGUUAUUUCUCUCUAUGGUUCUCAAUUUCUCAGUUAUUCUAAGUUUUUCUCAAGGGUUGCCUACUCUCUAGUGCUCAAUUUGUCAGCUGUUCUCUGUUUUCUCAAUUUAUAUUUUUGGUUGCUGGAGAUUGCCGGUGGGCGUCAGCUUGGAGUAGCCUUUUCUCAGUGGUUCUAUUGACUCGACUCUCUUUUUUCAGUGGUUUUCUACUGUCGGUCGCAGCCCAAGGUGAUCAGGUCGCAGGUUGUACAACUACCUUUCUCUGGUCAAAUAUUGUUCCAGCUCACUGUGCAAUCAACUCCACCUCGCUGCUCCUGCAAAGAACUUCCUCCUCACCGGUUGCUGGUCCAAUUCCACAUUCUUCAACAGAAACAUUAUGCAAAUGUCUGGCACCUAUGCUUUCCUAGCUGAACGUGAACUAGAAGAUCUCUGCAAAGCUUGUGGCCUGGUUGGUUUUACAUGUAUAGAGGAAUGGACGCAUUGUGAUGUUUACUGCUGCCAAAACCCAAAUGAGAAUUUAGUGCCACAUUACACAUUGCCUACCGCUCUCUGUUCUGGUCACUAAAACCCUAUUCAGCUGCAAUGAUCACUAAAACCCUAUUCAGCUGCAAAGAUAAAAGUAAAAACAUAUGACUGUUGUUGUGGAUAUGUUUAGUCAAAGUAGAGGAAUAUGAUUAGGAAAUCUGUAAAUAUGAAUUUCAUUAGAUGCCUGUGGCAAAAUAAAAUGAAGUGAAAUAUGGUUAAUUUUCUUGUAGA